AGGCUUGGGGGCGUGCUUACACAUGCAGUCGAACGGUGAAGCCAAGCUUGCUUGGUGGAUCAGUGGCGAACGGGUGAGUAACACGUGAGCAACCUGCCCUGGACUCUGGGAUAAGCGCUGGAAACGGCGUCUAAUACUGGAUAUGAGACGUGAUCGCAUGGUCGUGUUUGGAAAGAUUUUUCGGUCUGGGAUGGGCUCGCGGCCUAUCAGCUUGUUGGUGAGGUAAUGGCUCACCAAGGCGUCGACGGGUAGCCGGCCUGAGAGGGUGACCGGCCACACUGGGACUGAGACACGGCCCAGACUCCUACGGGAGGCAGCAGUGGGGAAUAUUGCACAAUGGGCGAAAGCCUGAUGCAGCAACGCCGCGUGAGGGAUGACGGCCUUCGGGUUGUAAACCUCUUUUAGCAGGGAAGAAGCGAAAGUGACGGUACCUGCAGAAAAAGCGCCGGCUAACUACGUGCCAGCAGCCGCGGUAAUACGUAGGGCGCAAGCGUUAUCCGGAAUUAUUGGGCGUAAAGAGCUCGUAGGCGGUUUGUCGCGUCUGCUGUGAAAUCCCGAGGCUCAACCUCGGGCCUGCAGUGGGUACGGGCAGACUAGAGUGCGGUAGGGGAGAUUGGAAUUCCUGGUGUAGCGGUGGAAUGCGCAGAUAUCAGGAGGAACACCGAUGGCGAAGGCAGAUCUCUGGGCCGUAACUGACGCUGAGGAGCGAAAGGGUGGGGAGCAAACAGGCUUAGAUACCCUGGUAGUCCACCCCGUAAACGUUGGGAACUAGUUGUGGGGACCAUUCCACGGUUUCCGUGACGCAGCUAACGCAUUAAGUUCCCCGCCUGGGGAGUACGGCCGCAAGGCUAAAACUCAAAGGAAUUGACGGGGACCCGCACAAGCGGCGGAGCAUGCGGAUUAAUUCGAUGCAACGCGAAGAACCUUACCAAGGCUUGACAUAUACGAGAACGGGCCAGAAAUGGUCAACUCUUUGGACACUCGUAAACAGGUGGUGCAU
rnacentral:rRNA from 1 species